CCGCGAUCGUGGCUAUCUGCAGUAGACGCUGAGGUUUGGUGUUUACACUAGACUGAUGAGUUGCGAACGGGUGAGUAACGCGUAGGUAACCUGCCUCAUAGCGGGGGAUAACUAUUGGAAACGAUAGCUAAUACCGCAUAAGAGUAAUUAACACAUGUUAGUUAUUUAAAAGGAGCAAUUGCUUCACUGUGAGAUGGACCUGCGUUGUAUUAGCUAGUUGGUGAGGUAAAGGCUCACCAAGGCGACGAUACAAAGCCGACCUGAGAGGGUGAUCGGCCACACUGGGACUGAGACACGGCCCAGACUCCUACGGGAGGCAGCAGUAGGGAAUCUUCGGCAAUGGACGGAAGUCUGACCGAGCAACGCCGCGUGAGUGAAGAAGGUUUUCGGAUCGUAAAGCUCUGUUGUUAGAGAAGAACGUUGGUAGGAGUGGAAAAUCUACCAAGUGACGGUAACUAACCAGAAAGGGACGGCUAACUACGUGCCAGCAGCCGCGGUAAUACGUAGGUCCCGAGCGUUGUCCGGAUUUAUUGGGCGUAAAGCGAGCGCAGGCGGUUCUUUAAGUCUGAAGUUAAAGGCAGUGGCUUAACCAUUGUACGCUUUGGAAACUGGAGGACUUGAGUGCAGAAGGGGAGAGUGGAAUUCCAUGUGUAGCGGUGAAAUGCGUAGAUAUAUGGAGGAACACCGGUGGCGAAAGCGGCUCUCUGGUCUGUAACUGACGCUGAGGCUCGAAAGCGUGGGGAGCAAACAGGAUUAGAUACCCUGGUAGUCCACGCCGUAAACGAUGAGUGCUAGGUGUUAGGCCCUUUUCGGGGCUUAGUGCCGCAGCUAACGCAUUAAGCACUCCGCCUG
rnacentral:rRNA from 1 species